rnacentral:snRNA from 1 species
AUGCUUGCCUGGCAGGGGAGAUACCGUGUUCGCCAAGGUCGCUCUCCCAGGCAAGGCUUAUCCUUUGCGCUCUGGAUGUGCUGACCCUUGCGACUUCCCCAAAUGUGGGAAACUCAACUGCAUUAUUUGUGGCAGUGGAGGACUGUGUUUGCGCUCUCCCCUG